rnacentral:rRNA from 1 species
GGGUUGUGAGGUUAAGCGACUAAGCGUACACGGUGGAUGCCCUGGCAGUCAGAGGCGAUGAAGGACGUGCUAAUCUGCGAUAAGCGUCGGUAAGGUGAUAUGAACCGUUAUAACCGGCGAUUUCCGAAUGGGGAAACCCAGUGUGUUUCGACACACUAUCAUUAACUGAAUCCAUAGGUUAAUGAGGCGAACCGGGGGAACUGAAACAUCUAAGUACCCCGAGGAAAAGAAAUCAACCGAGAUUCCCCCAGUAGCGGCGAGCGAACGGGGAGCAGCCCAGAGCCUGAAUCAGUGUGUGUGUUAGUGGAAGCGUCUGGAAAGGCGCGCGAUACAGGGUGACAGCCCCGUACACAAAAAUGCACAUGCUGUGAGCUCGAUGAGUAGGGCGGGACACGUGGUAUCCUGUCUGAAUAUGGGGGGACCAUCCUCCAAGGCUAAAUACUCCUGACUGACCGAUAGUGAACCAGUACCGUGAGGGAAAGGCGAAAAGAACCCCGGCGAGGGGAGUGAAAAAGAACCUGAAACCGUGUACGUACAAGCAGUGGGAGCACGCUUAGGCGUGUGACUGCGUACCUUUUGUAUAAUGGGUCAGCGACUUAUAUUCUGUAGCAAGGUUAACCGAAUAGGGGAGCCGAAGGGAAACCGAGUCUUAACUGGGCGUUAAGUUGCAGGGUAUAGACCCGAAACCCGGUGAUCUAGCCAUGGGCAGGUUGAAGGUUGGGUAACACUAACUGGAGGACCGAACCGACUAAUGUUGAAAAAUUAGCGGAUGACUUGUGGCUGGGGGUGAAAGGCCAAUCAAACCGGGAGAUAGCUGGUUCUCCCCGAAAGCUAUUUAGGUAGCGCCUCGUGAAUUCAUCUCCGGGGGUAGAGCACUGUUUCGGCAAGGGGGUCAUCCCGACUUACCAACCCGAUGCAAACUGCGAAUACCGGAGAAUGUUAUCACGGGAGACACACGGCGGGUGCUAACGUCCGUCGUGAAGAGGGAAACAACCCAGACCGCCAGUUAAGGUCCCAAAGUCAUGGUUAAGUGGGAAACGAUGUGGGAAGGCCCAGACAGCCAGGAUGUUGGCUUAGAAGCAGCCAUCAUUUAAAGAAAGCGUAAUAGCUCACUGGUCGAGUCGGCCUGCGCGGAAGAUGUAACGGGGCUAAACCAUGCACCGAAGCUGCGGCAGCGACGCUGAUGCGUUGUUGGGUAGGGGAGCGUUCUGUAAGCCUGUGAAGGUGUGCUGUGAGGCAUGCUGGAGGUAUCAGAAGUGCGAAUGCUGACAUAAGUAACGAUAAAGCGGGUGAAAAGCCCGCUCGCCGGAAGACCAAGGGUUCCUGUCCAACGUUAAUCGGGGCAGGGUGAGUCGACCCCUAAGGCGAGGCCGAAAGGCGUAGUCGAUGGGAAACAGGUUAAUAUUCCUGUACUUGGUGUUACUGCGAAGGGGGGACGGAGAAGGCUAUGUUGGCCGGGCGACGGUUGUCCCGGUUUAAGCGUGUAGGCUGGUUUUCCAGGCAAAUCCGGAAAAUCAAGGCUGAGGCGUGAUGACGAGGCACUACGGUGCUGAAGCAACAAAUGCCCUGCUUCCAGGAAAAGCCUCUAAGCAUCAGGUAACAUCAAAUCGUACCCCAAACCGACACAGGUGGUCAGGUAGAGAAUACCAAGGCGCUUGAGAGAACUCGGGUGAAGGAACUAGGCAAAAUGGUGCCGUAACUUCGGGAGAAGGCACGCUGAUAUGUAGGUGAAGCGACUUGCUCGUGGAGCUGAAAUCAGUCGAAGAUACCAGCUGGCUGCAACUGUUUAUUAAAAACACAGCACUGUGCAAACACGAAAGUGGACGUAUACGGUGUGACGCCUGCCCGGUGCCGGAAGGUUAAUUGAUGGGGUUAGCGCAAGCGAAGCUCUUGAUCGAAGCCCCGGUAAACGGCGGCCGUAACUAUAACGGUCCUAAGGUAGCGAAAUUCCUUGUCGGGUAAGUUCCGACCUGCACGAAUGGCGUAAUGAUGGCCAGGCUGUCUCCACCCGAGACUCAGUGAAAUUGAACUCGCUGUGAAGAUGCAGUGUACCCGCGGCAAGACGGAAAGACCCCGUGAACCUUUACUAUAGCUUGACACUGAACAUUGAGCCUUGAUGUGUAGGAUAGGUGGGAGGCUUUGAAGUGUGGACGCCAGUCUGCAUGGAGCCGACCUUGAAAUACCACCCUUUAAUGUUUGAUGUUCUAACGUGGACCCGUGAUCCGGGUUGCGGACAGUGUCUGGUGGGUAGUUUGACUGGGGCGGUCUCCUCCUAAAGAGUAACGGAGGAGCACGAAGGUUGGCUAAUCCUGGUCGGACAUCAGGAGGUUAGUGCAAUGGCAUAAGCCAGCUUGACUGCGAGCGUGACGGCGCGAGCAGGUGCGAAAGCAGGUCAUAGUGAUCCGGUGGUUCUGAAUGGAAGGGCCAUCGCUCAACGGAUAAAAGGUACUCCGGGGAUAACAGGCUGAUACCGCCCAAGAGUUCAUAUCGACGGCGGUGUUUGGCACCUCGAUGUCGGCUCAUCACAUCCUGGGGCUGAAGUAGGUCCCAAGGGUAUGGCUGUUCGCCAUUUAAAGUGGUACGCGAGCUGGGUUUAGAACGUCGUGAGACAGUUCGGUCCCUAUCUGCCGUGGGCGCUGGAGAACUGAGGGGGGCUGCUCCUAGUACGAGAGGACCGGAGUGGACGCAUCACUGGUGUUCGGGUUGUCAUGCCAAUGGCACUGCCCGGUAGCUAAAUGCGGAAGAGAUAAGUGCUGAAAGCAUCUAAGCACGAAACUUGCCCCGAGAUGAGUUCUCCCUGACUCCUUGAGAGUCCUGAAGGAACGUUGAAGACGACGACGUUGAUAGGCCGGGUGUGUAAGCGCAGCGAUGCGUUGAGCUAACCGGUACUAAUGAACCGUGAGGCUUAACCUUACAACGCCGAAGCUGUU